rnacentral:lncRNA from 1 species
CUGUGUUAUUCUUUAAGAACAAUGAUGACAUUUUAUUAAUUCUAUCUUUUCCUAGGAGAAGGGAAAAUGUUACAUUGUCAAAGUCCCAAAGCCUUUCAGCCUGAAGCCAGGAACAAUUGUUCAAAGUUUCUUUGGAACAUCAAGGAAGGAAAUCCAGAUUUUACUUUAAGUGCAAUGGGGAGUCAUUAAGGAUUUUGUGUAGGUGAGUUACAUUUCGAUUAUAUUUUGAAAAGAGCAUUCUAGCUGCAUAGUGGAGAAUUGGUUAUAGGAGAACAAGAGGGAAUCGAUGAGAAAUACAGCAAAAAGACAACAAUCUUCAAGCCACAAUGGCCCUCACCAGAACCCAGCCAUGUGGUCAGCCUGAUCUCGGACUUCACAGCCAGCAGAACUGUGAGAAUUAAAUCUUCUAGGGUUUUUAUGGUUUUAGGUCUAACAUGUCUUUAAUCCAUCUUGAACUAAUUUUUGUAUAAGGUGUAAGGAAGGGAUCCAGUUUCAGCUUUCUACAUAUGGCUAGCCAGUUUUCCCAGCACCAUUUAUUAAAUAGGGAAUCCUUUCCCCAUUUCUUGUUUUUGUCAGGUUUGUCAAAGAUCAGAUGGUUUCCUUAAGCUGAUAAGCAACUUCAACAAAGUCUCAGGAUACAAAAUCAAUGUGCAAAAAUCAUAAGCAUUCUUAUACACCAAUAACAGACAAACAGCCAAAUCAUGAGUGAACUUCCAUUCAUAAUUGCACAAAGAGAAUCAAAUACCUAGGAAUCCAGCUUACAAGGGAUGUGAAGGACCUCUUCAAGGAGAACUACA